CUGCUUUGUGCCUUAAACUUCAGACACGACUGGGGAGCCGUAGAUUCAAGACGAUACCCUGAGCCCAGUACCUGUCUGUCUGACAGUCAGUGAAAACAGCACGACAGCAAACAGUUCAGGAUGGUCCGUCCAUUCAGUCUCUGGAAGUUUGAGCGUCGCUGCCACCUGCUGGUGGAUCCAGGCUUCACACCUGCACUACAGGUAAGAGGAGCUGUCCCUUUAACAUUCAGCACCCAGAUUUGAAUAUUUACACCAUCGGUCUGAUGAAGUCAGAGCUGCGCCCACAUGAACAGGACAAGCUCUUAUCUAAUCAGGUACAGCGUUGGGCUUCAGGACUCCACUGGGUUUAUUAUUUGACAUCUGAGUGAAAUAUACGUUUUACUCCACUCAUUUUCUAAUUUUACAUUCAAACAUACAAACAGCAAGACCGCACUGAGCUUUGCCAUCCGGCCCUCGCCUACCGAAUACAGGAUUUACUUGUAAUUGAGUGUUUUUCCAUCAAGGAGCCGAACUUCUUCGAUCACUGUAAAAGACUAUGAGAGAGGAAAAAGACCAACAGAGUCGUUUAAAAGAGUUUUAAUAGUAAAACACUUUUAAAAA